CAAAAGUCUAUAGUUUCCCGUA
rnacentral:piRNA from 1 species